rnacentral:lncRNA from 1 species
GGUGUUUCUCCUCAUUUGCCUUGUUACAUUCCACACACCUAAGGCGGUACCUGGCUCCUGUUGACGUGAGGCCUUGGACUUCCUAUUACUGGAGUUGUUGGAGCAGAAUUCCCAAGGCUCCCCAGACCAGCUGAAUUUGAAUCUUCCCAGAAGUACAUUUCUUAUGUUCUUUGAGCUACUGCUGUGUGCUGAUUAGUCUCCCCUCCCCUCUCUGCAAACUAGACACAAGCUGUAAUUAUUUGGGAAGAUGAAACCUUUAUUGAGAUAAUGCUUAAGGUUGGCCUAUAGGCAAAUCUGUGUGGGAGGAGUUUUCUUGAUUAAGGAUUAGUGUGAGAAGGCCCAGCCUCAGGCUGCUGUUGAAGGUGACAGUCCUGGGCUGAGAGCCCUGGGUUCUAUAAGAAAGCAGGCUGGGAAAGCUAUGGAGAACAAGGAGCAUACCUCUGUGAUCUAGGCCCCAGAUUCUGUCUUUAGGUUCUUGUCUUGAAUUUUUGCCCUGAUUUCCCUCAGUGAUGGACUACAAUCUUUAAGCUAAAUAAAUUCUCUCCUCACCAAAUAGCUUUUGGUCAUGUUGUUUAUUACAACAGUAUAAAGAAAACUAAAACAGGGCAUGACCAGGAGAGGUGGACCUUGGAUCAAGUAGCUAGAAGCUUCCUGAAUUGCCUUUUCAUAGGAAAAAUGGCCUGAUGCUUCCCAUGAAGGUUGAGGUCCUAGAUUAUGCUCCACAGGGACACGUGUACAAUUGGUGCCACUUGGAGAGAACUCUAGCUCAGCAGGGCAGUGUCUGUCCUGGAGGGACCUGGACAUAGAGCUACAGACUCGUUGGUUAUGACUGAGCCCAUGAUGCACCUUGGGAACGCCCUUCAGCAGGUUGCGAGUUUGAAGAAACCCGUAGAUAAAGAAUGGAUUGAAAUGGC